AAUAUAGUGCCUGAUUUAAAAGGAUAGCUUUGAUAGAGCUAAUUAUGUAAUUUUCUUUACCUAUAUUA
rnacentral:tRNA from 1 species